rfam:Myotis lucifugus cont2.35293, whole genome shotgun sequence.
AUCGCUUCUCGGCCUUUUGGCUAAGAUCAAGUGUAGUAUCUGUUCUUAUCAGUUUAAUAAUAAUGUAAAUACUCGUUUGAUAUUCACAAAAGCCCUACAGAGUCAUUAUCACUAUUUUCUAUACUGAAGAAACUGAGACUCAGAAAAGAAACUUGCCCAAGGUCAACAGCCAUUUCAUUUUUGUUUGAUCUAAAAGCCC